GACGUAGGGUCCAAGCGCUAUCCGGAAUUACUGGGCGUAAAGCGCACGUAGGCGGAUUCGUAAGUCAGGGGUGAAAUCCCGGGGCUCAACCUCGGGACUGCAUCCGAUACUGCCCGACUAGAGGUAGGUAGGGGAGAUCGGAAUUCCUGGUGUAGCGGUGAAAUGCGCAGAUAUCAGGAGGAACACCGGUGGCGAAGGCGGAUCUCUGGGCCUUACCUGACGCUGAGGCGCGAAAGCUAGGGGAGCAAACAGG
rnacentral:rRNA from 1 species